rnacentral:rRNA from 1 species
GACUGUGCCCAUGUCACUCUGGACAUGCCCAAUCUCCUCUGAUCUCAGAAACAAAGUAGGGUCCAGCCUAGUUAGUACUUGGAUGGAAACGAUGUUAAUUUUUAUUAUACAUUUU